AUGGAUAACCGUGGAAAAUCUAGAGCUAAUACAUGCAGAAAGCGGCGUUUGGCCGUGCGUAUAUUAGAUACCAAGCUGUUCCAUUUUUGUGGACGGUGAGUCAUAAUAUCCAAGCGGAUCGCAUGGGGCAACCCGGCGACGAACCGAUCAAAUUUCUGCCCUAUCAACUUUGGACGGUAGCGUAGUGGGCUACGGUGGUUAUGACGGGUAACGAACCAUGGGUGUGGGAUUUCGGAGAGGGAGCCUGAGAAACGGCUACCACUUCCAAGGAAGGCAGCAGGCGCGCAAAUUACCCAAUUCACAAAGUGAGAGGUAGUGACAAUAAAUAACAAUGGUCGAACCGCAAGGUUGACCAAUUGGAAUGAGAACAAUUUAAAACGCUUAUCAAGAAUCGAUUGGAGGGCAAGUCUGGUGCCAGCAGCCGCGGUAAUUCCAGCUCCAGUAGCGUAUACGGUCAUUGUUGCAGUUAAAAAGCUCGUAGUUGGAUUCUAUUUUAUAAAUUUUAAAAAAAAAUUAUUUUUUACAAAUGGUUUUGUAUUUUUUUUUUUAUAAAAUAAUAUAUUUUAAGGAGGUGAUAUAAUAAAUUUUAUUUUAUUAUAAUGGAACGAAAGUAAAGUCUCUUUUUUUUAAUUUUAAAAUAAAGAGUCACCCCUUAUAUUUUACUUUGAGUAAAUUAGAGUGUUUAAAGCAAGUUUUAUUUUUUUAAAGAUAUUUCGCUUGAAUAGAUUAGCAUGGGAUAAUGAAAUAGGACUUUCAGUUGAAUUGUUGGAACAGUUUGUCAACUGAUAGUAAUGAUUAAUAGGAGCGGUUGGGGGUAUUCGUAUUGAAUUGUCAGAGGUGAAAUUCAUGGAUUUGUUCAAGACGAACAUCAGCGAAAGCAUUUACCAAGGACGCUUCCGUUAAUCAGAACGAAAGUUAAGGGAUCGAAGAUGAUCAGAUACCGUCGUAGUCUUAACCAUAAACUAUGCCGACCAAGGAUGGCGGGUCGUUGCAUGGAUGACUCUCGCCGAACUUUUGAGGGAAACCAUUGAGUGUUUAGGUUCUGGGGGGAGUACGGUCGCAGGCUGAAACUUAAAGGAAUUGACGGAAGGGCACCACCAGGUGGUGGAACCUGCGGCUUAAUUC
rnacentral:rRNA from 1 species